CCUGUCAUCGACAGGUCAUCGGAAUGUGGUCCCUCCGGGACUGAACCGGCAA
rnacentral:ncRNA from 1 species